GGAGAGCAUCCUACGGGAGGCAGCAGUGGGGGAAUAUUGCACAAUGGGCGCAAGCCUGAUGCAGCCAUGCCGCGUGUAUGAAGAAGGCCUUCGGGUUGUAAAGUACUUUCAGCAGUGAGGAAGGUGGGUAUGUUAAUAGCAUAUUCAUUUGACGUUAGCUGCAGAAGAAGCACCGGCUAACUCCGUGCCAGCAGCCGCGGUAAUACGGAGGGUGCGAGCGUUAAUCGGAAUUACUGGGCGUAAAGCGCAUGCAGGUGGUUUGUUAAGUCAGAUGUGAAAGCCCGGGGCUCAACCUCGGAAAUUGCAUUUGAAACUGGCAAACUAGAGUACUGUAGAGGGGGUAGAAUUUCAGGUGUAGCGGUGAAAUGCGUAGAGAUCUGAAGGAAUACCGGUGGCGAAGGCGGCCCCCUGGACAGAUACUGACACUCAGAUGCGAAACGCGUCGGGGAGCAAACAGGUAUUACGACUACCCGUGGUAG
rnacentral:rRNA from 1 species